UCAAGCUAAGAAGAGCGCAGGGCGAAUGCCUUGGCACUGGGAGCCGACGAAGGACGCGAUAAGCUGCGAUAAGCUGCGGGGAGGAGCAAAUAUCCAUUGAUCCGCAGAUUUCCGAAUGGAGAAAUCCGUAUGGAGAAGUCCAUACAUCAUAUACUGAAUUCAUAGGUAUAUGAGGGAAACCGCCUGAACUGAAACAUCUAAGUAGGGCGAGGAAAAGAAAUCAACCGAGAUACCGCAAGUAGUGGCGAGCGAACGCGGCAGAGGCCAAACCCGUAGUAGAAAUACUAUGGGGGUUGCGGACUGCAUUUAGCAUUGUUGAUCUUUAACCGAAGGGCAUGGGAAGGCCCACCGAAGAACGUGAGAGUCGUGUAGGUGAAAAGGAGAGACAGCGAGCAGGAUCCAGAGUACCGCGGGACACGAGGAAUCCCGUGGGAAGCCGGGGGGACCACCCUCCAAGCCUAAAUACUACCCAGUGACCGAUAGCGUAUAGUACUGUGAAGGAAAGGUGAAAAGGACCCCGGGAGGGGAGUGAAAUAGAACCUGAAACCCUGUGCUUACAAGCACCGAGAGCCCGUCAAUGGGUGAUCGGGUACUUUUUGUAGAACGGUCCGGCGAGUAUAUGGAACAAGCAAGGUUAAGGUCUUCAGGACCGAAGCCGAAGGGAAACCAAGUCUUAAUAGGGCGCACAGUUUGUUUCAUAUGACCCGAAACCGGGUGACCUAUCCAUGUCCAGGUUGAAGUGGCGGUAAAACGCCAUGGAGGACCGAACCAACCCCCGUUGAAAAGGUGGUGGAUGAGGUGUGGAUAGCGGAGAAAUUCCAAUCGAACUCGGAUAUAGCUGGUUCUCCCCGAAAUAGCUUUAGGGCUAGCGUUGUGUUAGAUUACCGGAGGUAAAGCACUGAAUAGGCUAGGGGGCGAGAGUCUACCGACCCUUAUCAAACUCUGAAUGCCGGAUAAUUGAUGCACAGCAGUCAGACAGUGUGAGAUAAGUUUCAUUGUCAAAAGGGAAACAGCCCAGACCCACAGCUAAGGUCCCAAAUGUAUGUUAAGUGGAAAAGGAUGUCCAGUUGCACAAACAACCAGGAUGUUGGCUUAGAAGCAGCCACACAUUCAAAGAGUGCGUAACAGCUCACUGGUCGAGUGACCGGGCGCCGAAAAUGUAACGGGGCUAAACAUACAACCGAAGCUUGGGCUGCACAGCAAUGUGCGGGGUAGGGGAGCGUUGUGUGCGGGGAGAAGCACGAGCGGAAGCGCGUGUGGACUGCACAGAAGUGAGAAUGCCGGAAUGAGUAGCGCGAAUUAUGUGAGAAUCAUAAUGGCCGAAAGCCUAAGGUUUCUGGAGGAAGGUUCGUCCGCUCCAGGUUAGCCGGGAGCUAAGGUGAGGCCGAAAGGCGUAGCCGAUGCACAUACGGUGGAGAUUCCGUAGCCAUCAAAAGAUUUAAGCAGAGGGACACAGUAGAAGGGUACAUGCCGGGCGUUGGUAGCCCCGGUUGCAAGGGACCGAAAUUAGAGUAGGGAAGAUGGACUUGGAUACUGGCGAGAAAAGCUCUGUGGAUAUCUGCGAUGCCCGUACCGCAAACCGACACAGGUAGGUAGGAAGAGGAUUCUAAGGCCAACGGGAGAAGGGUUGUUAAGGAACUCGGCAAGUUGACCCCGUAACUUCGGGAGAAGGGGUGCUCUGGAAACAGAGCCGCAGAGAAUAGGUCCAGGCAACUGUUUAGCAAAAACACAGCUCUCUGCUAAAUCGAAAGAUGAUGUAUAGGGGGUGACGCCUGCCCGGUGCUGGAAGGUUAAGAGGAGGAGUGAGAGCCCCGAAUCGAAGCCCCAGUAAACGGCGGCCGUAACUAUAACGGUCCUAAGGUAGCGAAAUUCCUUGUCAGGUAAGUUCUGACCCG
rnacentral:rRNA from 1 species